rnacentral:tRNA from 1 species
GGGACUAUAGCUCAGCUGGGAGAGCACCUUUACAAGCAGGGUCACAGGUUCGAGCCCUGUUAGUCCCACCA